rnacentral:rRNA from 1 species
UACGUAGGUGGCAAGCGUUGUCCGGAUUUACUGGGCGUAAAGAGCGCGCAGGCGGUCGUACAAGUCGCGUGUGAAAGCCCCCGGCUCAACUGGGGAGGGUCACGCGAUACUGUUCGACUCGAAGGCAGGAGAGGGAAGCGGAAUUCCCGGUGUAGUGGUGAAAUGCGUAGAUAUCGGGAGGAACACCAGUGGCGAAGGCGGCUUCCUGGCCUGUUCUUGACGCUGAGGCGCGAAGGCUAGGGGAGCGAACGGG